rnacentral:rRNA from 1 species
UCUUGGUCAUUUAGAGGAAGUAAAAGUCGUAACAAGGUUUCCGUAGGUGAACCUGCGGAAGGAUCAUUAACGCGUGCGAUCGAAGGGGGUUUAAGAUGCGGCGCGUUCUCGCGCGUGCUCCCCCCGUCCUUCUAGUCCCACUUUUUCACACCCUGUGCACCUAUGGCGAGCGCCUCCCGUUUGGCGCCUUUGGCGUCGGACCGGGGCGCUCCCAUCUUAAAAAUACCACACCUUAGCCUGUCUUGUAACGCAUGUUCAACGUCCCACGGGGCGAAAGAGAAGUUUAAUACAACUUUCAACAACGGAUCUCUUGGCUUUUGCAUCGAUGAAGAACGCCGCGAAAGUGCGAAACGUAAUGUGAAUUGCAGAAUUCAGUGAAUCAUCGAAUCUUUGAACGCAUCUUGCGCCCCUUGGAAUUCCGAGGGGCAUGCCUGUUUGAGUGUCGUGAACCGCCCUCAAGCUUUUGUCUCUUUGUUGAGGCGCGCUUGGACUUGGACGUCUGCGGGGGAGAGGAAGGUGGGGUUUGUUUCCCGCCGCCCGCCCGCUCGUCUUCAAAUGCAUUAGCUUUGGUCUCGGUUUCCGGCGAGGGCGUGAUAAGAAACGCUUCGUUGACCGUGGCGCCGCUUGCUCGGCGGCCGAGGCCUGCUUACAGUCGUCUUCGGACAAAGUUUAAAACCAUGUCGUCUGACCUCAAAUCAGGUAGGGUUACCCGCUGAACUUAAGCAUAUCAAUAA